CGGCGGGUGGUUCGAGGCCUCGCAGGCCACCGGCGAUCUCGUCGGCCGAGCACGCGACACGGUGGGACGGCUGUUCCACGCGGACCCCGCCGGC
rnacentral:tRNA from 1 species